GGGUUGUGAGGUUAAGCGACUAAGCGUACACGGUGGAUGCCCUGGCAGUCAGAGGCGAUGAAGGACGUGCUAAUCUGCGAUAAGCGUCGGUAAGGUGAUAUGAACCGUUAUAACCGGCGAUUUCCGAAUGGGGAAACCCAGUGUGAUUCGUCACACUAUCAUUAACUGAAUCCAUAGGUUAAUGAGGCGAACCGGGGGAACUGAAACAUCUAAGUACCCCGAGGAAAAGAAAUCAACCGAGAUUCCCCCAGUAGCGGCGAGCGAACGGGGAGCAGCCCAGAGCCUGAAUCAGUGUGUGUGUUAGUGGAAGCGUCUGGAAAGGCGCGCGAUACAGGGUGACAGCCCCGUACACAAAAAUGCACAUGCUGUGAGCUCGAUGAGUAGGGCGGGACACGUGGUAUCCUGUCUGAAUAUGGGGGGACCAUCCUCCAAGGCUAAAUACUCCUGACUGACCGAUAGUGAACCAGUACCGUGAGGGAAAGGCGAAAAGAACCCCGGCGAGGGGAGUGAAAAAGAACCUGAAACCGUGUACGUACAAGCAGUGGGAGCACGCUUAGGCGUGUGACUGCGUACCUUUUGUAUAAUGGGUCAGCGACUUAUAUUCUGUAGCAAGGUUAACCGAAUAGGGGAGCCGAAGGGAAACCGAGUCUUAACUGGGCGUUAAGUUGCAGGGUAUAGACCCGAAACCCGGUGAUCUAGCCAUGGGCAGGUUGAAGGUUGGGUAACACUAACUGGAGGACCGAACCGACUAAUGUUGAAAAAUUAGCGGAUGACUUGUGGCUGGGGGUGAAAGGCCAAUCAAACCGGGAGAUAGCUGGUUCUCCCCGAAAGCUAUUUAGGUAGCGCCUCGUGAAUUCAUCUCCGGGGGUAGAGCACUGUUUCGGCAAGGGGGUCAUCCCGACUUACCAACCCGAUGCAAACUGCGAAUACCGGAGAAUGUUAUCACGGGAGACACACGGCGGGUGCUAACGUCCGUCGUGAAGAGGGAAACAACCCAGACCGCCAGCUAAGGUCCCAAAGUCAUGGUUAAGUGGGAAACGAUGUGGGAAGGCCCAGACAGCCAGGAUGUUGGCUUAGAAGCAGCCAUCAUUUAAAGAAAGCGUAAUAGCUCACUGGUCGAGUCGGCCUGCGCGGAAGAUGUAACGGGGCUAAACCAUGCACCGAAGCUGCGGCAGCGACGCUGAUGCGUUGUUGGGUAGGGGAGCGUUCUGUAAGCCUGUGAAGGUGUGCUGUGAGGCAUGCUGGAGGUAUCAGAAGUGCGAAUGCUGACAUAAGUAACGAUAAAGCGGGUGAAAAGCCCGCUCGCCGGAAGACCAAGGGUUCCUGUCCAACGUUAAUCGGGGCAGGGUGAGUCGACCCCUAAGGCGAGGCCGAAAGGCGUAGUCGAUGGGAAACAGGUUAAUAUUCCUGUACUUGGUGUUACUGCGAAGGGGGGACGGAGAAGGCUAUGUUGGCCGGGCGACGGUUGUCCCGGUUUAAGCGUGUAGGCUGGUUUUCCAGGCAAAUCCGGAAAAUCAAGGCUGAGGCGUGAUGACGAGGCACUACGGUGCUGAAGCAACAAAUGCCCUGCUUCCAGGAAAAGCCUCUAAGCAUCAGGUAACAUCAAAUCGUACCCCAAACCGACACAGGUGGUCAGGUAGAGAAUACCAAGGCGCUUGAGAGAACUCGGGUGAAGGAACUAGGCAAAAUGGUGCCGUAACUUCGGGAGAAGGCACGCUGAUAUGUAGGUGAAGUCCCUCGCGGAUGGAGCUGAAAUCAGUCGAAGAUACCAGCUGGCUGCAACUGUUUAUUAAAAACACAGCACUGUGCAAACACGAAAGUGGACGUAUACGGUGUGACGCCUGCCCGGUGCCGGAAGGUUAAUUGAUGGGGUCAGCGCAAGCGAAGCUCUUGAUCGAAGCCCCGGUAAACGGCGGCCGUAACUAUAACGGUCCUAAGGUAGCGAAAUUCCUUGUCGGGUAAGUUCCGACCUGCACGAAUGGCGUAAUGAUGGCCAGGCUGUCUCCACCCGAGACUCAGUGAAAUUGAACUCGCUGUGAAGAUGCAGUGUACCCGCGGCAAGACGGAAAGACCCCGUGAACCUUUACUAUAGCUUGACACUGAACAUUGAGCCUUGAUGUGUAGGAUAGGUGGGAGGCUUUGAAGUGUGGACGCCAGUCUGCAUGGAGCCGGCCUUGAAAUACCACCCUUUAAUGUUUGAUGUUCUAACGUUGACCCGUGAUCCGGGUUGCGGACAGUGUCUGGUGGGUAGUUUGACUGGGGCGGUCUCCUCCUAAAGAGUAACGGAGGAGCACGAAGGUUGGCUAAUCCUGGUCGGACAUCAGGAGGUUAGUGCAAUGGCAUAAGCCAGCUUGACUGCGAGCGUGACGGCGCGAGCAGGUGCGAAAGCAGGUCAUAGUGAUCCGGUGGUUCUGAAUGGAAGGGCCAUCGCUCAACGGAUAAAAGGUACUCCGGGGAUAACAGGCUGAUACCGCCCAAGAGUUCAUAUCGACGGCGGUGUUUGGCACCUCGAUGUCGGCUCAUCACAUCCUGGGGCUGAAGUAGGUCCCAAGGGUAUGGCUGUUCGCCAUUUAAAGUGGUACGCGAGCUGGGUUUAGAACGUCGUGAGACAGUUCGGUCCCUAUCUGCCGUGGGCGCUGGAGAACUGAGGGGGGCUGCUCCUAGUACGAGAGGACCGGAGUGGACGCAUCACUGGUGUUCGGGUUGUCAUGCCAAUGGCACUGCCCGGUAGCUAAAUGCGGAAGAGAUAAGUGCUGAAAGCAUCUAAGCACGAAACUUGCCCCGAGAUGAGUUCUCCCUGACUCCUUGAGAGUCCUGAAGGAACGUUGAAGACGACGACGUUGAUAGGCCGGGUGUGUAAGCGCAGCGAUGCGUUGAGCUAACCGGUACUAAUGAACCGUGAGGCUUAACCUUACAACGCCGAAGGUGUUU
rnacentral:rRNA from 1 species